AACGAACGCUGGCAGCAUGCCUAACACAUGCAAGUCGAACGAGACCUUCGGGUCUAGUGGCGCACGGGUGCGUAACGCGUGGGAACCUGCCCUUAGGUUCGGAAUAACUCCCCGAAAGGGGUGCUAAUACCGGAUAAUGUCUUCGGACCAAUGAUUUAUCGCCUUUGGAUGGGCCCGCGUUGGAUUAGCUAGUUGGUAGGGUAAAAGCCUACCAAGGCGACGAUCCAUAGCUGGUCUGAGAGGAUGAUCAGCCACACUGGGACUGAGACACGGCCCAGACUCCUACGGGAGGCAGCAGUGGGGAAUAUUGGACAAUGGGCGAAAGCCUGAUCCAGCAAUGCCGCGUGAGUGAUGAAGGCCUUAGGGUUGUAAAGCUCUUUUACCCGGGAUGAUAAUGACAGUACCGGGAGAAUAAGCGCCGGCUAACUCCGUG
rnacentral:rRNA from 1 species